UUAGUUCAAAGGAGAGAAGGAAGCAGCUUAAACAGUUUGAGAAGUCAUAUCCAGAGAUUUAUAAAGCCAAAUUUCCUGGAGACAACUCGUCAACGAGUUCUCAAGCCUCACAAAGUUCAGAGAGGGUGAAACAGGUCGUGAAACCACUGAAUAUACUUAAGAAUUUGCGGUAGCAGAGCAUAAAGGAAUAAGAAAUGUGGGUAACAACAGAAUGGUGGACUGGCAAGCGCAUGGAAUGUUAUGUCUAGAAGUUGGUGAUCCCUGUGAUCAUUUGUCUGGAAAAUAAAUCCAUGCUUUUAUUUUCAUUAAUUUUGUAAGCUACUGUUGUGAUUGUAAAUCUAACAAAUUUUCUGACAAUUGAAAGUUAGGUAAAUUCCACAAACAGAAAGUCCUAUUUUAAUUGCUGUUGGCUGUCAUUUGAUUUUAAUGAAGAUAGACAGACUUGGAGAGCAAGCACUGCUCUAUUGCAUGACUGUCACUUUCAUUUCAAUCUACCAAUAAAAUUUUAUUAAAUAUUAUGUAGAACAAGAUGAAAUAUUUUUGUCAAGAAACAAUACUGUAUAUGUAUUAUGUAACAAUAUAUAUAAAUAAAAGGGAAACUGGAAAUAGUUUUAA